UACAGAGGGUGCAAGCGUUGUUCGGAAUUACUGGGCGUAAAGGGCGCGUAGGCGGUCUUGUAAGUCAGAUGUGAAAGCCCGGGGCUCAACUCCGGAAGUGCAUUUGAAACUGCAAGGCUAGAGUGCAGUAGAGGUUGGUGGAAUUCCUAGUGGAGAGGUGAAAUUCGUAGAUAUUAGGAGGAACACCGGUGGCGAAGGCGGCCAACUGGGCUGUAACUGACGCUGAGACGCGAAAGCGUGGGGAGCGAACAGG
rnacentral:rRNA from 1 species